UACGUAGGCAGCGAGCGUUGUUCGGAAUUACUGGGCGUAAAGAGUGUGUAGGCGGUGCUCUAAGUUCGGUGUGAAAUCUCCUGGCUCAACUGGGAGGGUGCGCCGGAAACUGGAGUGCUUGAGCGUGGGAGAGGUGAGUGGAAUUCCUGGUGUAGCGGUGAAAUGCGUAGAUAUCAGGAGGAACACCUGUGGCGAAAGCGGCUCACUGGACCAUAACUGACGCUGAUGCACGAAAGCUAGGGGGAGCAAACAGG
rnacentral:rRNA from 1 species